UAGGCAUUUUAGGGGUCUUUUCAAAGUUUUCUGCUGUGAAACAUUUCAAGAUUUAUUGAUUUUUUUUUUUUCACUUUCCCCAUCACACUCACACGCAUCCCCACAUUUUUUAUUUGCCAUAAUGAACCGUCCAGCCCCUGUCGAGAACUCCUGUGAGAACAUGCGUUUUCUUAUAACUCACAACCCAACCAAUGCUACUCUCAACAAGUUCCCAGAGGAACUUAAGAAGUAUGGAGUGAUGACUUUGGUUCGAGUUUGUGAUGCUACAUAUGAUAAAGCUCCAGUUGAAAAAGAAGGAAUCCAUGUUCUUGAUUGGCCAUUUGAUGAUGGAGCUCCACCCCCUAAUCAGAUAGCAGAUGAUUGGUUAAACCUGUUACAAACCAAAUUUCAUGAAGAGCCAGGCUGCUAUGUUGCAGUGCCUUCUGCUGUGGGACUGGGAAGGGCAUCUGUGCUGGUUGCACUUAGCUUUGAUUGAAUGUGGAAUGAAGUACGAAGACGCAGUUCAGUUUAUAAGACAAAAGGGGAGCAUUCAAUUCCAAACAGCUGCUUUACUUGGGAGAAAUACUGACCUAAGAUGCGAUUACGCUUCAGAGAUACCAAUGGGCAUUGCUGUGUUCAAUAG